CUGCCGGAAUCCGACGCUCUCCCCAAGGACACAAGCCAUGCAUGCCCGCGCACCCGGGAGGCGGCGGACGGCUCAGGACAACGGUUGCACCCCCCGCGGCGGUCCCUGCUAGCCGGACACCGCUGGCAACCCGGCGCCAAGACGUGCGCGCAAGGGCGGGCGCCCGCGGGCGAGCAGCGUGACGCAGCGACGGCCCGCCCGG
rnacentral:rRNA from 1 species